rnacentral:rRNA from 1 species
CCCUGGCUCAGAUUGAACGCUGGCGGCAUGCCUUACACAUGCAAGUCGAACGGUAACAGGUCUUCGGAUGCUGACGAGUGGCGAACGGGUGAGUAAUACAUCGGAACGUGCCCGAUCGUGGGGGAUAACGCAGCGAAAGCUGUGCUAAUACCGCAUACGAUCUACGGAUGAAAGCGGGGGAUCGCAAGACCUCGCGCGGACGGAGCGGCCGAUGGCAGAUUAGGUAGUUGGUGGGGUAAAGGCUCACCAAGCCUUCGAUCUGUAGCUGGUCUGAGAGGACGACCAGCCACACUGGGACUGAGACACGGCCCAGACUCCUACGGGAGGCAGCAGUGGGGAAUUUUGGACAAUGGGCGCAAGCCUGAUCCAGCCAUGCCGCGUGCAGGAUGAAGGCCUUCGGGUUGUAAACUGCUUUUGUACGGAACGAAAAGGUCUGCCUUAAUACGGCGGGCCCAUGACGGUACCGUAAGAAUAAGCACCGGCUAACUA